CCUACGGGAGGCAGCAGUGAGGAAUAUUGGUCAAUGGACGAGAGUCUGAACCAGCCAAGUAGCGUGAAGGAUGACUGCCCUAUGGGUUGUAAACUUCUUUUAUAUGGGAAUAAAAUGUUCCACGUGUGGGAUUUUGUAUGUACCAUAUGAAUAAGGAUCGGCUAACUCCGUGCCAGCAGCCGCGGUAAUACGGAGGAUCCGAGCGUUAACCGGAUUUAUUGGGUUUAAAGGGAGCGUAGGUGGAUUGUUAAGUCAGUUGUGAAAGUUUGCGGCUCAACCGUAAAAUUGCAGUUGAAACUGGCAGUCUGGAGUACAGUAGAGGUGGGCGGAAUUCGUGGUGUAGCGGUGAAAUGCUUAGAUAUCACGAAGAACUCCGAUUGCGAAGGCAGCUCACUGUACUGCAACUGACACUGAGGCUCGAAAGUGUGGGUAUCAAACAGGAUUAGAUACCCGAGUAGUC
rnacentral:rRNA from 1 species